GACGAACGCUGGCGGCGCGCCUAACACAUGCAAGUCGAGCGAUGAAAUUUUAACCGCUCUCUUCGGCGAGAAGAUAAAAUGGAUUAGCGGCGGACGGGUGCGUAACCCGUGAGAAACCUGCCUUUCACAAGGGGAUAGCCUCGGGAAACCGGGAUUAAUACCCUAUGACACAUUUCCUUCGCAUGGAAGCAAUGUUAAAACUCCGGUUGUGAAAGAUGGUCUCGCGCCGGCUUAGCUAGUUGGUGGGGUAACGGCCCACCAAGGCCAGGCUCAGUAACCGGCCUGAGAGGCUGAACGGUCACAUUUGAACGGAGACACAGUCCAGACUCCUACGGGAGGCAGCAGAGGCGGAUAUUGCACAAUCGAGGAAGCUAUGAUGCAGCGACGCUGCGUGAGCGAUGAAGGCGUUAGAGACGUAAAGCUCUGUCCUAUGGGAAGAUAAUGACGGUACCAAAGGAGGAAGCCCCGGCUAACUACGUG
rnacentral:rRNA from 1 species